UGCAGUCGAGCGGUAGAGAGAAGCUUGCUUCUCUUGAGAGCGGCGGACGGGUGAGUAAUGCCUAGGAAUCUGCCUGGUAGUGGGGGAUAACGUCCGGAAACGGACGCUAAUACCGCAUACGUCCUACGGGAGAAAGCAGGGGACCUUCGGGCCUUGCGCUAUCAGAUGAGCCUAGGUCGGAUUAGCUAGUUGGUGGGGUAAUGGCUCACCAAGGCGACGAUCCGUAACUGGUCUGAGAGGAUGAUCAGUCACACUGGAACUGAGACACGGUCCAGACUCCUACGGGAGGCAGCAGUGGGGAAUAUUGGACAAUGGGCGAAAGCCUGAUCCAGCCAUGCCGCGUGUGUGAAGAAGGUCUUCGGAUUGUAAAGCACUUUAAGUUGGGAGGAAGGGCAGUAAAUUAAUACUUUGCUGUUUUGACGUUACCGACAGAAUAAGCACCGGCUAACUCUGUGCCAGCAGCCGCGGUAAUACAGAGGGUGCAAGCGUUAAUCGGAAUUACUGGGCGUAAAGCGCGCGUAGGUGGUUCGUUAAGUUGGAUGUGAAAUCCCCGGGCUCAACCUGGGAACUGCAUUCAAAACUGACGAGCUAGAGUAUGGUAGAGGGUGGUGGAAUUUCCUGUGUAGCGGUGAAAUGCGUAGAUAUAGGAAGGAACACCAGUGGCGAAGGCGACCACCUGGACUGAUACUGACACUGAGGUGCGAAAGCGUGGGGAGCAAACA
rnacentral:rRNA from 1 species